GAGGCAUUGAGAGGACAAAAGG
rnacentral:piRNA from 1 species